rnacentral:rRNA from 1 species
GACGAACGCUGGCGGCGUGCUUAACACAUGCAAGUCGAACGGAAAGGCCUUCUUGCAGUGUACUCGAGUGGCGAACGGGUGAGUAUCACGUGGUUGUUCUCCCCCGCACUUCGUUAUAAGACUGUGAAACUGCGUCUCAUACCGCAUAGUAGCCAUUUCUACUGUAUUGUUUGGAUUGUUUUGUCUGUGUAGGAUGAGCUUGCGGCCUAUCAGCUUGUUGGUGGGGUAAUGGGCUACCAAGGCGGCGGCUGGUAGCCUGGCUGAGAGGGUGGACGGCCAAAAUGGGGCCGAGAUACGGGCCAGACUCCGACGGGAGGAAGGAGGGGGGAAGAUUGAAAAAUGGGAGCAAGCAUGAUGCAGGGACGACGAGGGGGGGAUGACGGCAAUCGGGUUGUGAAAUCGUUUCGAUAGGGAAGAAGCUGUAUGUGACGGUAACUAGAAAAGAAGCACCGGCUAACUACGUG